UUCCGUCUGUGCGAUUUCAGCAGCUGGUCCUGUGAAUUUUAUAGUUUUGACCGAAGCGAAACCUCUCGUCCAUGAUGACUUCCGAUUGGGACGAAAUCGAGCGGCUCGCUUCCGACUUCCAGAAUGCCCAGCUGACGACCAGCUUCCAAAGGUUGUCGGAAUUACGUCGAAGUAGUCGCUCUGCUGAUUGAGAAGGGCCUGCUGGAGGUGAUUUACACGACCGAUGGCAAGGAGUACUUGACGCAGAUUCAUUUGAAGAAGAAGGUGCGGGACGAGAUGUUUGUGCGGGGAGGCCGCAUUAAUCUGAUCGAUUUGGCCAAUGUUGAUCACUGCGAACAAGAUUGUUUUUCCCUGGGUCCCGGAGGAUGUGCAGCUGCUGGAGCACCACGAUGGGCAUGAAUGUGGUGGAGCUGCGAUGGGGUAAAGAAGGAGGAGGAAAAGGGAAGGACAUUCGAGUAGGAAAAUGAAUAAAAAUGCAAAGUGUGUAAAUAUACAAGUAAAUGUGUGAAAAUUUA